AGAGCGAACACUGGCGGCAGGCCUAACACAUGCAAGUCGAGCGCCCCGCAAGGGGAGCGGCAGACGGGAGAGUAACACGUGGGAACGUGCCCUUUGGUUCGGAACAACACAGGGAAACUUGUGCUAAUACCGAAUAAGCCCUUACGGGGAAAGAUUUAUCGCCGAAGGAUCGGCCCGCGUCUGAUUAGCUAGUUGGUGGGGUAAUGGCUCACCAAGGCGACGAUCAGUAGCUGGUCUGAGAGGAUGACCAGCCUCAUUGGGACUGAGACACGGCCCAAACUCCUACGGGAGGCAGCAGUGGGGAAUAUUGGACAAUGGGCGCAAGCCUGAUCCAGCCAUGCCGCGUGGAUGAUGAAGGCCUUAGGGUUGUAAAGUCCGUUUUAACGGGGAAGAUAAUGACGGUACCCGUAGAAUAAGCCCGGCUAACUUCGCGCCAGCAGCCGC
rnacentral:rRNA from 1 species